rnacentral:rRNA from 1 species
AACGAACGCUGGCGGCGCGUCUUAAGCAUGCAAGUCGAACGGCAAGAGAGGAGCUUGCUUCUCUCCUAGAGUGGCGGACUGGUGAGGAACACGUGGGUAAUCUACCCUUAAGAUGGGGAUAGCUGCUAGAAAUAGCAGGUAAUACCGAAUACACUCGGCAUAUCACAAGAGGUGUUGAGGAAAGGAAGCUACGGCUUCGCUUGAGGAUGAGCUUGCGGGCCAUUAGCUAGUUGGUGAGGUAAAGGCCCACCAAGGCGACGAUGGGUAUCCAGCCUGAGAGGGUGACCGGACACAUUGGGACUGAGAUACGGCCCAAACUCCUACGGGAGGCAGCAGCUACGAAUAUUCCGCAAUGGACGGAAGUCUGACGGAGCGACGCCGCGUGGAUGAAGAAGGCUGAAAAGUUGUAAAAUCCUUUUGUUGAUGAAGAAUAAGGGUGAGAGGGAAUGCUCAUCUGAUGACGGUAAUCGACGAAUAAGCCCCGGCUAAUUACGUG